CCUACGGGGGGCAGCAGUGAGGAAUAUUGGUCAAUGGCCGGAAGGCUGAACCAGCCAUGCCGCGUGAAGGUCAGUGCCCUAUGGGCGUUAAACUUCUUUUGUGCGGGAGCAAUAAUGGUCACGUGUGGCCAGACGAGAGUACCGUACGAAUAAGCAUCGGCUAACUCCGGGCCAGCAGCCGCGGUAAUACGGGGGAUGCAAGCGUUAUCCGGAUUUAUUGGGUUUAAAGGGUGCGUAGGCUGUGAGGUAAGUCAGCGGUGAAAUGCCCCCGCUCAACGGGGUGAAGUGCCAUUGAUACUGCCUGGCUGGAAUGCGGAUGCCGUGGGAGGAAUGUGUGGUGUAGCGGUGAAAUGCAUAGAUAUCACACAGAACACCGAUUGCGAAGGCAUCUCACGAAUCCGCGAUUGACGCUGAUGCACGAAAGCGUGGGUAUCAAACAGGAUUAGAUACCCUAGUAGUC
rnacentral:rRNA from 1 species